rnacentral:misc_RNA from 1 species
AGUUACUUUGUAGUGCAGGUGGGUAGAGUUUCAUAUCCAUGUUUCUCACCUCCAUUUUUUUCCCUUAAAAAAACACACUAAUGACCCUGUAUUCUGGUGACAUUUUUUUAUCAUCUUCUGAGGUCUCAGCUUUGAGGUUAUGAGUCCAUAUACGAUGCCAUUUUGGGCAGGAGAUAUUAGUGGUUGGCUUUAUUUUGCUUUUGCUAAUGUUAU